ensembl:lncRNA
GUCGCAUUUUAUGAAAAAGUUACUUCGCUCUGAAUCUAGCAGGAUACCUGUGUAGGAGGUGUUGGGAAGCUUGAAAAUGUUUCCAUAGAUACAAAACAGAGCCCUAGCAGCAGCUUUCAGCCAGGCCAUGUAAGCGUUGAGAUAUUUUUCUGAAUUAGCAAUGGGCUGUCGGAUUCUAUCCAAAUAUAUAUAUAUUUUCACUUUUCAAAGUCUUUUUUUCCCCAGCGUAUCUCCAUUGGUGCAAACUGGCACAGCUCCAUUGGUAUCAGUGGAACUGCAUGAGCUUAUGAACUUUCAUAAGUGCUUCUAGAUAAUGUUUUAAGGUAAGAGAAUGCAUCUACGUCAGUUCAUAUCUAACCAGUCUGACAAGCUUUAUUUAGUUAUCUGCAAUGCAUUUAUUAUAUAAAUGCUUUGGCAUUAUGGAUUGCUCAGCUUAGUAGAAUUCACAUUUAGUAAGAAGUUACUUGCAGCGAAGAAAAUGAGAAUAAACAUGAAGUUAGGAUACCUGAUUUUUAUGGAAGAACUCUACUUCUUCUGUAUUUUUUCCAUGUUAUGCUCUUACUGCCAACAGUCUCUCCAAGCUCCCUUUCCUUUCCUGUUUUGUUUCCAUGUUUACUACUCUUCCACUGCCUGUUCCUUUCAGAUACUCUUGCUAUCCUUUCAUCAUCCUCCUGUAAUUUAUAAAUAGACUGCAGACAAUUCACUUUACCUCUAGUAUAUCCCUGUGAAGACCACCGGGACCUCCCUGAAAUGAAAUACUAAACCUUGAUAUUAAGUUCAUAAUUGUUAUUGUUAUCGAAUACCUCCGCUCUUCAGAGAGAGACCAAAAAAAAAAAAAAAAAAAAAAAGUACAGGCUUAUUUUCUAAGCUCUUCUCCCAGCAUUCAUUGAACUCGAAACAAAAUGGAUGAAUGACAUGAGGAAAGUUUAUUUUUUUACUCUUGCACCUGCAUGGUUCAGGUGCCCCGUGUUUGUCACAGCCCCAAGGACGCCACCGGCCCGGCCCAGGCCCAGGCCCUGCAGCAGCCCUGGGGCCACCAGCCUUUGCCCCACUGGGGCUUGGCAGGGCCUGGCAGGGCUGUGGGGAGCUGGAGCCCGGCCCUGGCCCCACGGAGGUGCCGGGGCUGCCCGGUGCCCCGCUGCUGGUGGGGCGCUGGGCCGGGCCAUGCCUGCCCCCCCCAACCCCCGGGCCGCCCCAGGCUUUAGGCCCCAGCUGCGCCACAGGGAGGCUGUUUGUUCAUGGCAGCCAAGGAAAGCGGUACUGUUUGUGUUCUGCAGUUGUGAAAUCCACCCCCAUCUCUAUUCAGGCUGAAAACAUGUCUCGGUAUGUCCGCAUUAUCACAGAAUGGAAGCCAUGCUCUCACCACCCCUAUUAAAUAAGGCAGGUAGUUUAUUUUCUUCCUUUAGCUUCCCAUGUCAUGCAGUUUUGGCAUUCCCAAAAGCCUUCUCAGAGACUUUCCCUUUCUAAAGAGGAGGAUUGACUGCAAUUAAAAGAUCUCCCUCAUGUACAGCAGGAAUUACUGUGUGAAUUGCCUACUCUGGCUUUGGUCACGUACAUAAUGCUUGGUUGUCCCUGAAAUACAGUACUGGAGAGUAUAUACAUCUAUAAACCUACACUUUGUUACUGUGCUUGAGGUAAGUAUUGAAUUAAGUAUUCACUGCAGUAUCCAGCAUUGCUCUACUCUGUCAUUUACUGUCAUUGUAGAAGAGAUGGUUCCAGAUUGUUGUAUUUGGGGGUGGGUGGUAUUGCAGUUCUCUCUCUUUCUUUUUUUUUUUUUUUUAAGGAAAAAUAAUUAUACUAUCUAAGCUUUCUUUGUAUUUCAGACUCACGUAGAAACCUUUAUUUUUGGAGACUAAUUCUGGCGUUCCUAUGUAGUUCGCUGCUCAGGGAUGCUUAUGAUUACAGUUACUCUGCAAAAUACAAUGUAACCAAGAAUGAAACCAUGGACACUAACAAUUCCAUACUUUUGGAAAAAAAAAAAAAAGUGACAAAUAUAUUGCUACCUUUCAGAAGUCAUAAAAUUUACAAACAAUCACUUAAAUGUGUUAAUAGCUUUAAGGAUACAAAGAGUUCAGAUAGCUUCCUGAGGUUAUCUCAAAGGAAUUGAACUUUUUGUACAAGAUGGGAUGGAAGGUCAGCAUAUGAAAGAGACAACCAUAAUGUUAAUAAGAGAUAAAGAUGCUUCUCAUAAUCCUGUUUGAAAGUUUGUGAUGAAAUGUUACUAGUUUUUAAGUUGCUGGUAAGCCCCACAAGACACCGACAUGGCUUACUGAUAAUCAUAGAAAAUUGUCUUUCAUCUAGAUUUUUGUGUUUUCAUAAAAGACUUUUCAUGCGUUCAUAUCAAAUUACUGGUCCCUUCAGCUCAAACUUCAGAAGGGUUGUGGUUACCUUUCUUACUGAAGAACUAUCAUAAUGAAUAACAAUGAGCAAAGGGAGGUUGUCCAUGGAUGGUAGGGUAGUUUCAUUACCAAAAAAUACUGGUUUUGUUAUUUUAGGUGUCUUUCAGAAAGCAUGACAUAUAUUUAUUAGGAAAAAAUCCCUCAAGAUCAAAACCUAAUAAUAUGUGAAGCAUGAUUUGCAAUUACUUAGCUGUGUGUGUAUGUACUAUUUCUAUGUACUUAACAGGAAAUAAUAAAAAGUUAGUUUUCCACA